GACGAACGCUGGCGGCGUGCUUAACACAUGCAAGUCGAACGGAAAGGCCCUGCUUUUGUGGGGUGCUCGAGUGGCGAACGGGUGAGUAACACGUGAGUAACCUGCCCUUGACUUUGGGAUAACUUCAGGAAACUGGGGCUAAUACCGGAUAGGAGCUCCUGCUGCAUGGUGGGGGUUGGAAAGUUUCGGCGGUUGGGGAUGGACUCGCGGCUUAUCAGCUUGUUGGUGGGGUAGUGGCUUACCAAGGCUUUGACGGGUAGCCGGCCUGAGAGGGUGACCGGCCACAGUGGGACUGAGAUACGGCCCAGACUCCUACGGGAGGCAGCAGUGGGGAAUAUUGCACAAUGGGCGGAAGCCGGAUGCAGCAACGCCGCGUGCGGGAUGACGGCCUUCGGGUUGUAAACCGCUUUCGCCUGUGACGAAGCGUGAGUGACGGUAAUGGGUAAAGAAGCACCGGCGAACUACGU
rnacentral:rRNA from 1 species